UCGGCCUUCUUAUAUAAGUAUAUCCCUUCUAUAGUUUCUUUAAUGAGGAUUGUCACUUAAGCUAGCAUGUAUUUCAAAUUUACAAAUAUUCUAUAACAUUUUAAAAUGUAAUUCUUUUGAAACACUUUCUUUUGUAAUCACUCCGAUGAGGUAUAAUAAAAUCUUGAUAAACUUGUAAUCAUUUUAUAAUAAAGAGUUUAUUUCCGCUGCAAGUGUUUGUAUGUGAGUUAUGUUUACUUAAUCCUGCGAUCUUGGCGGUAAGUGGUUUAUCCGGGGUCCUUGGGACACUCGGACAGAUCCUGUUAAGUUAUUUGGUGCAUAUGCAUAGCUGUUUGAGGUCCUUGGGAUAAGGACAGGUGCAUGUGGGCCUAAUAACUUGGGAGGUUCUGCCACACUCUUGUUAUAAGCUUCGUCAUCUGAAAGGAAGUUACCCUGAAGGUAAGAGAUGAUCUCGGUUCUCCAGUCUUCACUAUAAACAGGAGAUAUAUUGAGGACUGCUCUUUCAAGGAGUUCAACCGAGGGUGCUUUUAUUGUUUCAAAAAAUACUUCCGAAGGUAAGGGCAGCCCCUGUGAUGCUGACUUGGCUAGCAAAUCAGCAUGUUCAUUUUCUCCUCGAGGAAUAUUUUUUACAGAAAACCCUUCAAAGGAAGCUUCAAUCCUUCGGACCGUAUCUAAAUACUUCUCAAGCUUCGGGUCUCUUGCCUUACAACUCUUGUCAAUAUGACCAGAGAUAACCUGGGAAUCAGUUUUAAGAACCGCCCUUCUGAUUCCCAUUGCCUUUAACUUUCGAAGACCCAAAAGUAAAGCUUCGUACUCAGCAAUGUUAUUUGUGCAGCUAAAAUCGAGUCUUGCUGCGUAACAAGUUUUAACUUUGGAGGGUGCGACCAACACAGCGGCUGCUCCUGCCCCGAAGGUUCCCCAAGAACCAUAGCAGAAUAUUGUCCAUGCUUCGACAUCUUUACUCGCUUCUUCUUCCUGAGCCCCUGGCGUCCAGUCAGCAAUGAAGUCAGCUAGCGCCUGGGACUGAAUCGAAGAUCUGUGCACAUAAUCAAUGCAGAAUUCAUUGAGUUCCGCAGCCCACUUUCCAACCCUUCCAGUAGCUUCUCUAUUUCUCAUAAUGUCCUUCAAUGGUUGUGAAGAAGGGACAAUUAUAUUGUAUGCUUGAAAAUAAUGCCGAAGCUUUCUGGAAGCCAUCAAAACAACAUACAACACCUUCUCCAAUUCUGUAUAAUUUUUCUUUGAUAAACUAAGAACUUCAGAUACAAAGUAUAUUGGAGCUUGCUUUUUGACUUGCCCUUCAAGCUUUUCUUGGACAAGUGCCGCACUUACCGCUGAGUGCGAGGCUGCCACAUAUAACAACAGAGAAGCCCCUGGCGUUGGUGGAGUUAACGUCGUUAAGUCUAUCAAAUAUUGCUUCAGCUCUUCGAAGGCUCUCUGCUGAACUGGACCCCAUUGAAAAACUUCGGACGAUUUCAGCACUUCGAAGAAUGGUAAAUUUCUCUCUGCUGAUCUAGAUAUGAAUUUGUUGAGAGAUGCCAAUCUUCCUGUCAAUCGUUGAGCCCCCUUCUUUGUGCUUGGUGGUUCCAUUCGAAGAAUAGCUUCGAUUUUAUUUGGAUUAGCCUCAAUCCCUUUUGUUGAAACUAGGCAACCAAGAAAUUUCCCCUUCUUUACUCCGAAAACACACUUUUCUGGAUUCAAUUUUAGAUCGGCCUAUCUAAAAUUAGCGAAAGUCUCCUACAGAUCAGCAAUGUGAUUUUCUUACUUCGUGCUUUUACAAUGAUAUCAUCAACAUAAGUUAGCACAUUUCUGCCUAUCUGAGAAUGAAGAACCUUUGCUGUCAUUCUGCUGAAGCUUCCUCCAGCAUUUUGAGCCCCUCAGGCAUCCGAAGGUAACAAUAUGUUCCGCUAGGGGUUAUGAAGCUGGUUUUUGGCUCAUCCUCCUUCUUCAUCCAAAUCUGAUGAUAGCCUGAAUAACAGUCCAAGAGACUCAUAAGUUCUGAUGAAGCUGUUGCAUCAACUAGGGAGUCUAUCCUUGGCAAUGGGAACUCAUCCUUCGGACAAGCCUCGUUGAGAUCAGUGAAAUCAAUACACAUCCUCCAUUUGUCGUUGGCCUUUUUUACCAUAACAGUGUUAGCCAGUCAUUCUGGAUAUUUCACUUCUCUGAUGACUCCGGCACUGAGGAGUCUUUUUACUUCAUUUCGAGCACCUUCGGUCUUGUCAUCAGACAUCUUCCGAAGCCUCUGCUUUCUGGGCCUAAAGGAUGGAUCAACAUUGAGCGAGUGUUCAAUAACAUCCCUGUUGACGCCACAAAGAUCGUUAGCCGACCAUGCAAAGACAUCUUUAUUGUUGAACAAGAAUCUUAUCAGGGUUUUCUCUUGUUCCUGAGACAAUUGAGAUCCCAGCAGCACCUUCUGCUCUGCGAUAUCUUCGCAUAAAAGCAUGGGUUUCGGCUGAUCGGCCGAAGCAGCCUUCUCCCUUCUAUGCUUGUACUGCUCACAAGCUUCGGCUUCAUCUAUAUUGUGGAUUGCCUUUGAAUCAGUCCAAUUCCCCUCGGCCUUUCUGGCAGCUUCCUGACUCCCAUGAAUAGCAAUAGGUCCCUGAUCCGAAGGUAUCUUUAUGCAAAGAUAUGCUGGAUGAAGAAUUGCUUCGAAAUCAUUGAGUGUUCCGCGACCAAUGAUAGCAUUGUAAGGAUACUCCAUGUCAACAAUGUCAAACACAACUUGCUCAGUCCUUGUGUUGUUGACGAAUCCGAAGGUCACUGGCAUGGUAAUCUUACCAAGUGCUACAAUCUGUCUCCCUCCGAAGCCACAAAGAGGGUGCGUAGCAUCAUGAAUCUUGUCUUCGGGCUCUUGCAUUUGUCUAAAGGCCUUAGCAAAUAUGAUAUCCGUUGCACUGCCUGUAUCAACCAAGACAUUGUGGACCAGAAAUCCUUUGAUCACACAAGAGAUAACCAUAGCAUCAUUAUGUGGGUAAUCCUUGAGCUGAAGAUCCUCUUGAGAGAAGAUAAUUGGGAUGUGAGACCAUCUUGACUUGAUGAAGGGUCCUUGUACCCCUACAUGUUGUACUCUUCUUUGCGCCUCCUUCUUCUGCUUCUUGUUAGCCGGCUCUGAGCAUGAACCACCUGUUAUCGGGAGAAUCAGCUUUGGAGCCGAAGCAGUUACAGCUUGGUUCUUGAACGAAGCCAUUAGCUCAAAAAGUGGAAGUGAGUUCAUCGGAGGUGGGCGCUAAUGUUGGGGACUUGUUCUCAAGUGCUAUGAAUUAGGAACAAGGCAACAUAGAAUGUCAGAUGUUAAAGCCCUUCGUCCGCUGAAGCAUUAUUUCCCCAAGGAUUUAAUGAACUUCGGACGAAGGUUGUGGAUAAUAUAUCACGAAGGUUGCACCUUCGUGAUCAAAGAUAAAACAAUGCAAAAUGAAAUAUAAAAUAUAAAAUAUAAAACGUUACAUAAUAGCAAGAAUAAAUAAAUUCAAUUAUUUUGUAAUGUGAACUUAGAUAUCAAAACAUAAUGUUUAGGCACAUUUGUACCUUCGCCUUGGCAGAAAAUAAUAAUUCCAGAGUAAUACGUCAGCAGUUACAAGAUUGCGUGAACAGGAAAGGAGUACUGUUCACCUAUUUAUAGGCACAGAACGCAGCCUGUAAGAAAUUACAAUCAUGCCCCUUACAGAAGAUCACAAUUAUAACUCAGACUCUUAUGGACUAAAAAGUAAUUCCAUCUUUAAGUUGGUUCGGUCCUUCGUCUUUAGACAUGCUAUAGUGUCGAAGCUUUAUGAGCGGUAGCUUCGGUAUCUCAUAUAAACAGAUUUGUCGAAGGUGUUUUCUUCCUCCAGGACCUUCGGCGACGAAGCAUGAUCCCAACAGGUUACAAGAACUCUAAAGGGUGUAGUGUAAUCAUUCGUAUUAAAUCUUAUAACUUUUAAGAUCUUUGAUGAUACCUCGAAACUAAAUCUCUUUGUAUUAAUGCUUUUGUAACACUGUUUUCUCCCGACAGCUUCUCAAACUAGCAGAUGACGAUUGCUUAGCCAUGCUGGAUCUUCUUCAAUCACUGCUUAUAGAUCAUUACUUUAGGUCUAGCUCAAGCAUAUGAAUUGGAUUUUGUGUGUCAGACCAGCACCUUUCUUUUUUGCUCUCAACUUAUUUUUUCUCGAAAACACGCAGGAGAACUGCGCCUCAUUAUAUUAAUAAGAAAAAGAAACCAGGGUCUAAAGGAAGACCUAAUAGAAAAGACCCCUUACGGGGCCAGAAACAUGCAUAUAGGAAGAAAUCCAUCUAGGAAAACAAAGGAAAAACCCACACACUGCCAGGGAAGUCCCUAUGGCUCAGCUAAGGGGGCUGCCAGGUAAGAAAUGCCUUUUGCCCUCGCUAUUUCCCAUCGAUGCAUCUCCUCAAGCAGGUAUUUCUUAUUCUAAAUUGUUGAGUUGGAGAAUAUUUUCCAAUCCAGUCAUUGCUGCAGUUACAUAUAUUUGGCUUGAAUGCUCUAAAUUAUUGACCUUGUUUUUCUUAUUCUAAAUUCUUUUAAAAUAUUGAUGCACACAGUUAGCUUCUUACUACUGAAGAAAUAUGUCUAUAGCAUGUAUUGAUUCAUUGUCCUUUUGUACAACUACUAAUAUAUCUACUUUGCCAUCCAAGCUCGGAGGUGAGAAGGUAGUUUAUGAUGCUACCAAGAAAAUCUUCUCAAGCUCCAGUGGUCUAGCCGAAGAUAUUCUAUUCUUAUUCACAGAUUGGUUGUCACUACUGGGAGAGAUUGUCAAUAUUGAAACAAUGGUACACACCUAAUUCUUUGUAUUCCUCUUGCAAUCAUCUGCUUUCCUCUGAAUUUGCUUGGGACUCAUGUUGGGUACUUGUGUUUUAACUAUAGCCUACCGCAACUUGCUUGAGACUAAAUUGCUUUGUUGUUGCUGUUGAAUCCUCUGCUACUCCAAGCUUCUUUGAUGUCGGGUGUAACGUUGUAACUGGCUAUCGUUGUUGGCCGAACAUUUGGCUAGCGUGGAUGAUAUAUAUUGCAAUGUGAAUCCAAUAAGCAGGAGAGUGAUCAAUGUAUGUAAUCGUUGUACACUAACAUUUGUCGAAUAUUUUGUAUAUCGUUUCAAGGCACCUAAAUAUUUUCUAAAGAUUUGUAUAAGUUUGUAGUUUUUGUGAUAUAUAGAAGUCCGUAUAGUACAGUGUAGUGUCGAAAUAGCUAGAUUAAAAUAACAAUUUAUAUAUGUCUAAAUCAUAAAUGGAUUACGAAACGUUUUCUCACAACAGUAUAACACACAUUUAUACAUACGUUAUUUUGAUAUUAUAUGUUUCCGUUGCAACGCACAGGCAUUCACCUAGUACCUCUAUAUUUAUAGAGGAGGGGCUGGACACGUUACAAACCAAUCUCUCGGGCUAAUCCCACGAAUUUAGCUAACAACCGUAGUAAGAAACUCGGAACCCUGAUUGGCUCUGCGCGCACGGGCCAUCUGCACCACCAGGGCGGACUGUCCAGUCUCAGGGCUGAACCGUCCGGUCUCAUUUUGGUGCUCAACACGUAGUACGCAAAAAGUUAACGAUAUUUUAUAAAUCAUAACUAAUAGAUUGAGCACCCUUGUAGAUCGACUGAAAAAGAAUAUUUAUUAUUUGAGAAAUUUUUGAAAUCACAAUCCAUAAAAAACACUAUUAUUAGGAGCAACUCUAACAGACUAAGUAUAAAUCCUAGCUAAAUUUAAAGUAUUGAAGGCUAUAAAAAUGAUAGAGGAGUUCAACCUAGGUGGAUGUAUCCAAUAGACUAGCUAAAAUAAAAACUAUAGAACGUUUUUGUCCUUCCUCGCAGGAGCAUCCAACAAUCGCGUUUGCCAGCAAUCAGCCUGCCAUCACGAGUGUGAGUGUGAAGACCGCGCCGGGCCAUGAGGUAUGCAAGCUGACGGUAGGAGUGAUCUGC
rnacentral:lncRNA from 1 species